rnacentral:lncRNA from 1 species
GUAGAGCUGAACAACCUGAAUAUUGGUGCUUUUUAUUCCAUGCCUGGAGGUCUAGUUGUUUUUUUUUUUUUUUAAAUACAAGAUGGAGACUGAAAGUGAGAGUAGCACUUCAGGGGAUGACAGUGUCUUCUGGUUGGAGUCUGAAGUUACAAUCCAGGUGACUGACUGUGAAGAGGAAGAAAGGGAAGAGAAGUUCAGGAAGAUGAAGUCCUCAGUACAUUCUGAAGAAGAUGAUUUUGUUCCAGAGCUACAUAGAAAUGUACACCCUCGAGAGCGACCUGAUUGGGAAGAAACUCUUAGCGCAAUGGCAAGAGGCGCAGAUGUUCCCGAGAUUCCUGGAGAUCUUACUCUUAAGACGUGUGGCAGUACAGCCAGUAUGAAGGUUAAGCAUGUGAAAAAGUGAGUAUAGCUUUACAGUGGGUUCUAAAUGAAUUCCUAUGAAGGGAAAUCAGUUCUUUAGUUCUCUUAAAA